rnacentral:ncRNA from 22 species
AUACAAAUUAGCAGGUUCGGUGCCCCUCGGGGCGUAACAGGGAAAUCGGUGCAAUGCCGAUGCGGUCCCGCCGCCGUAAUGCUGAGGAUGCCCGAAUAUGUCACUGGGAGACUGGGAAGGCAGGGCAACGAUGAAGCAGAGCCGGAAGACCUACCGAAUCUUGUACGUCGGAG